CGCUAGGGCUAAUUUUGUAGGGAAUGCUAACACCACAUUUGCCAGGAAGACCAGCUGCAAGAUUUAAGUCAAUACCAGGAAUGGAGUUUGAAGCACUUUUCAAACAUUUGCAAGCCUGUUGGCGGUCAGCAGUGGUCUUAGCCGCCGCAUUAAGGCUCCUAACGCCGCUGCAGCAGGCUGGAGGAGGCGCAGCUACGCCUUUCCUCAGAUAGGGAAUACAUGCUGAUACUGAACUUGCCACCUGCCCACAUGUAAUUGCAGCUUCGGCCAGAGGUGCACCCACCACCAUGCACAUCACCAACACACAAGCUAACUUAGUAGCCAUUGAGCAAGCCAUUAUAUAUAAAUUAUGGCAAGUAUUAAAGAAGGAAGAGAGUUUAUGUAUAAAGAUACUUAGAAUAGGAAGUUGGGUGAGUUGUGAUGCUCUUAGGGAUGGUGUUUAUAUAGGGCAAGGAAGUCCAUGGAGAUUUUUCUUUUUCUUUUCUUUUUUUUUUUUUAAGAAUAAUGUAGAUGGCAAUUUCACACGUCACUUUCCUAUAUUUAAUUCAUUAUAUCCUUAAUUAGUUGGGAAAUUUAUGUACAUCAUGCUAAAAAUAGCGAGAAUUAAGAGUAUAUAUAUAUAUUUUUAAAAAAAGGAACAACUGAGUGUGUUAGUUACUUACCCGACUUCCGCUCGGGCCACCAGUCACGUGACUUCUAGACAUCAUGUAUAACGGAAUGUUAUCGUAGAGGAUCGAAUCUGGAUUAAGCAGGCAAAUAUCUUUAUCACCUCGGAUGGUAAGAGUUUAUUGUUUCACUUUAGAACGUGUUUGGACGAGAUGAGAAAAAAUUUAUUGAAGGUAAAGUAAUAUAAGGUAUGGUAAAGUAAAAUAAUAUAUAUAUAUAUAUAUAUAUAUAUGAAGGUAUGAUACAUAAGUUUAGGAAUAUUAUAUUAUUUGAUUUGAAUAUGAAAAAAAAAAAAAACCCUUCUUGUGAAAAUUGUUAUUUGGUCAGAAGUAUUUUUUUUCAAACUUUUUUUUCAAACAAUCUUAACUAUUUAAUUUUAUCUUAUGUUAUUCUCAAACCUUCAAAAAAAGAAGCAACAAUUUUCAUACCCAAAACUUUUAGUUAAAGUAGAAAGAAUCAUGACCGCUCCAUCUCAAUCAACCAACAUCGGUAGAUAAUCUCUAAUUUGUUUUUUUUUUUUUUUUAUUAUUAUUAACAAUUAUUUUUAUGAUUUUUUUAAAAAGGGAAUUCAUUUAUUUGAUUGUAGUUAGAGUAAUUCUUGAAGUAUAUUAGAAAAAUAUUAACUCAAAUUUAUUGCUUUUAUUAUCUUAAUAGCCAUAUGCUUUGGAUCCAUGUAAAAAUAAAAAUAAAUUUAUUAAUUGUAAAAUACAGACUAGAUAUUAUUCAAAAUUAUUAAAAAAUUAUUUCUAAUGUGUGGUUGUGCACAUGCGAUUUAUUCCAAUCAACCAAAAGAUCUACACGUGGCAUUCAACAAUAAUUAACCUAUAAAAAGGAUGUGACGUUCAAAAAAUAAAAACAACAAGGCCUUAAUUUGUUCAUUCACUUUCUUUUGUGGUGAACUGGCUAGUACUUAACCCCUUUAUUUUACAAAAAUUUUAAUUUUAAUUUUUUUUAGAAAUAUAAUAAAAAUAAAAAAUUUUGAUUCAAUUAAUUAAAUUGUAACUUAAUUAUCAAUUCGGUUGGAUCUCCCCUAUGAUUCCAAAACAUUUAAAUAAGAAGAUAGAAACAGAAAUCUAAUUUCAUUCCCAUUCUUGAAUAAGAAAUUGAUCUUCCACCCCUUAAUUAUUUGUCUUUUUUUUUAUAUCACAUAUGUCCUUAACAAUGAAAAGCUACCUUAAAGAGAGGGCAGGCAGGUCGGCAAUUGUCUCCCUUCUCUUUAAAAAAGAAAUCAAGAAUAGCUCACUUCGGCUUUCGGCUACCAUUGUUCCAUAAAAUAUAACAUACUUUCAUUACUUUGUCCCUUCUAAUUAAUAUAUUCAAGUAUUUUUCCUUUUUGAUUUUAAUCCUUAGCUUCAUUAUCUGGUCUUUAGUCUAUUGAAUUAGGUCUAAUUCUAUUGGUACUAUAACAAAAAAGCAUUUUUAGAGAAAAUUUUCUUCAUUUAUAAAGACGAAAAACUCAAAUUUUUAUUUAAAAGAUCUAGAAUAUCAUUUCAAUUGAGAUGAUCGCAGGUAUUGAUUUUUAAUUAGUCGGUUUUAAUAAAUGAUGGGUGCUUUCAUAUUUAGAAGACAGUUAGGGACCUUGAAAUUAAAUACUACAAGUGUAAAUGACAAACCAAUAAAAAGGUAGAUUGAUAAGCACCUCUCAAUGGAGACAGUUGUACAAUUGUACUGCCAAAAAUUCAAUGUUAGUAAUGAGAUAAAAACGAUGGAUAACCACCAAAAUGUUUGGAUUCUAUAUUUUCUUUACGAGUGUCGGACUGUCCUUUUUUUUAUAUAAAAAAAAUUGGAAUAUUAGGAUUUAUUAUUAAAAAAUCGAUAAAACUAGUAUGUGAAUCAAAUCACACUUUAAGCUGUUUUUAUUAACAAAUCAGCAACUAAAUAAGAAGAGUCUAUUCGGUAAAAUUAAUUAUUUUGACGGUGGUUAUCUAUAACUACAUAAGAAGAGUAUUAUUUGAUAAAAUUAGUUGUUUUGAUAGUUGUUGUCUAUAUCAAUCUAUCUGUUUAAAAAUAAUAUUUUAUUUAUUAAAUUGGAUACGAUUUAAAAUUAAGGUGCUAUUAUAAUCAAAAUUAAAAUUCAAGAUACUAGAAGAGGAAAAUUAGAUUUAUAAAUACAGUUAAAACUACUCGCUAAGUUUAGAAUUUAAUAAUAAUUUAGCCAGUUAUAAAAAGGUAAAAAUAAAGAAAAACUAAUUUUAUAGAUGCACAAUUAUCUAAUUGAAAAAAUAGAUCAAUAAUAGCACAAAAUUUUAUACAUCAUAUGAUAUAUAUUUUGAAUUAACAUUAAAAAAUAAUAGUAAUUUUUUUUUUUUUGGUAUAUCUAAUGACUUUUUUGAAUUAAAAUUAGAGUUAAUGAUUAAUUAUAUAUAUUAAUAGGGUGAAAAGUUCAACUUUAAAGUUUGAAGCGGUCUCGGUGGAGGAGAUUGAAUCAAAUAAUUGUAUCCUUUUGUUCUUUACGGGGAAAUUAAUUGUUAACUGUUUUAAUUGCAUUUAACGGUUAGUUGUUUGAGUAAAUUUUUAUAAAAUAUUACUAAAGUUAAUUUUUAUAAAAAAAAUGUCGUAUUAAUCUCGAAAAAUUAAUUCAAAUAUUAUAUUAUCAAAUACUAUAAAAAAUAAUAUUUAAUAAAUUGACUAAUUAAAAUAUCAAAAUCUAUUUAAAAAGUCUCACUGAAUACAUCACAAGCUGGAUAAAUCUGAGUAGUACAGGGAAGAGUAGCUUUUAUUUCCUUGAAGUAGUACAGGGAAUAGAAGAAGAAAAAGUCAAUUUGAUGAUCUUUUCCUUGAAUUAUGGUGAUAUUUGGUUGAUAGUGAGUAGCACAGGGAAGUGUAGCUUCUGGAAAGUGCAAAAUGGUUGUAUUUGAUUUAUAUUAUCAAUUCUAGAAAGUAGAUCCUUCAAUUUUUCUUCUACAAAAAAAGUAGUGUUCUCAGGACGUUGUACUUCCUUAGUUAAAUAUAAUGAAUUUACUAAUUUAUCAUUCUAUCUAAACACGCUUAAAAUUAUGUUAUGAACAUUAUUAUCUUUUAUAAUUUCAGAGCAAUUUACUUCCCAACAGUGACAGCUUGGAUCUUUUCAUAGGAGCCAAAAUAUAUUUAUCGUUUCAUACAACGAACAACAAAUGUAUAUUUUAGCAUUUUUCAUUAAUAAACAAUUUUUUGUAUGGAAUAAUUCCAAUUUUUGAGAGUUUUAUAUUUUUGUUUAGCAACCUUACUAUUUCUACAUUGCACUUACUGUAACAUAUGAAUUUUACAUGAUAAGUCUCCUUUAUGAGUUUAGUAGAGGAUUAAUAACUAAAUUGUUAUAGGUUUAAUUCUCUCUCUCUCUCUCUCUCUCUCUCUCUCUCUUUUAUAUUUUUUUUCUUUUACUCAAGUUUUUAUUGAUGAAUUUUGUCUGAUAGUAACUAAUCAAAAUUUAUCUUAUUUUUUUUUUUUAAAAAAUAAUAAUUUAAUAAAAAUAUAUGAAAUUCCCCAUAUUCCCACCAAAUAUGGCAAGGACAUGUUGAAUGAUCUAAAGCUGGAUAAUAACUCAGAAGAGGAGAAGAUCUUUUGACCUUAUAUGAUCUCUUUGAUGACAAGACCUUCAAAAUAAGUUGGUCUGAAAUGUAUAUACAUAUUUGAAUAAGUUCCAUACAUAAAAGUAAACGAAAAUAGAAAGCACUCAGGAUUUACUUACAGAGGAAAAACAAUACAAUACAAACAUUAAAACUUGCGAACGUCCGGAUACUGCUUCAACACUUCCCUCAUUAUAUCUAUUGCACAACAGUGCUUUUUCAUCUCAAAGUCAUCACGGGCCAUGAAUUGACCCCAGAUGCUGGCAACAAAGGCCGUGCUACGGGGACCCAUCUCGCUGCUGAAAAUGCUUCAUUAAGACGUGCAGCGCGACUCAUGAACUGGGAAACCUUCUGCAGAUGGAGAUUAGAAAUAGAACUCAACAUUUAUAUAGAAAUCAGAAAUCAAAAUCAAACCAAAGCUCGACAAUCAUGUCCUCUUUCAACUUUUGUAAAACAGUUUCUGAAUUCCCAUAAAGUAAGGUAAUUUGCAAUAGAGAGAAAAUGUUGUUGCAUUAAGUUUGAAGAGAACAGACCAUGUCUGCUCAGAUUAUAACUUGGGAACAAACAGAACCGAAAAAAUCCUUACUGCCUGCGAAACCUAUAUACAAGUCUCAAAACUAUUUUAAUUAAGAGCAUAAUUGACAAAGAAUGUGAUUGCAAAACCAGAAAUAAUCUUUCAAACAGAAGUUUGUGAUGUGCAGGCGCAUAAAGACAGCAAAUAUAUACAGGAUAUGGGAAUUCACACUUGUUUCUCUUCUAAAGGCUAAUAAUGGAAAGAAAAAUCUUGAAAUAACAGCUUGAGAGGAUUCAACUAACAUCCCUUGUGUUCUAUGAGGACAACCUAAUCUCCAUCAGUUGCAAGUGCAAAUACAAAAUGACGAAAUAGGUUAAAAACAAACAUUUUGAUGACCAGAAUAUAUACAAAGAAAGAAAGACAGAGAACCUAGUAUAGAAUGUACAUAAUGCUCAAGAUAAGUUUUAAUAAGAUUGAAAGUGAAGCAACCAAGUAGAGCAAAAACAAUUACACAGCUGAGAAAGAUAUUCAAGUCCCCAACAAAGUAUUACUUGAUUGUUCUGCAUGUUUAUAAUUCACAAGCAGCAGACAAGGGAUUAAAAAUAUUCUGUCAAAUAGAUAUCAGUAAGUUACGCUGCCCUUGCAGACUCGACUUCCUAAAAACAAAAACAAGCCAAGCUCCAGAACAUUUAAAGGCAACUGCUAAUAAUUUUCAGAACCAAAAUAUUGAACUUCAUCUCACGUGUCAUCUUAAAUAACCCAGAAACAUCCCCCUGGGUGGCAUAGAAAUGCAGGACAGUGUUAGGCUUAUUCAUAAAGCAUAAUGGCGAGCCUUUCUCAAGGCUUGUAAAUCGCAUCUAUAUAUCUCCUAUUCCCUAUUCGUAAAGUAAUGAAGAGUAUGGCACACCCUAUUUGAUUGUUUCAUGUAAAGUAAUGUUAUGAACCAACCUAACUCGAGUGGUUGGAAAAAGAGAAAGGGAAGGAAAAUACUGAUUAGGACUUGGUUUAUAAGAAAACAACUAAAGUGACUAAUUAGACUAAGUAAAUGACAUCAUCAAUACAAAAUGACCUCCUACUCACUAAAUAUAUGCUUGUGUCCUAAAUCUUAGCUAACCAUCAUGAGCCUCUCCUGGUGACAUCACCUUAGAGUCCCUGAGCGCCUGCAUAGUGCAUACCAAGCAGACUACUUUAGAUAACAUCCUUAUUGCUUAUGAGUGCUUCUAUUAUACAAGGGUAAAAAAGAGGGGAAGAAGGAGGUUUCCAGCAUAUAAACUAAACAUGUCUAAGGCUUCUAACAGGGAAGAAUAGGCAUUCUUGGUCAAAGGUAGAUUGUGCAUUCUGAGGCUUAGUUUGCUUCCAGAUUGGGCUCGGCUGAGAAAUGGAUUUACCUUAGGUAUGAAGUGUGUGUCUGCUGUGAAUUAUUCUAUUUUUAUUAAUGCCUCCCCAGUUGCUAAUAUCAAUCCAACAAGAAGACAUUCCAUUGAAGAUUGUUAUUUAUGUUCAUAUGCCAGCUAAGAAACUUUGCUGUGAACUCAGUUAGAAUAGUUAGCUUGUAACACAAGUCUGUUAACUUGUUAGAAGUAAGUUUGGUUAUCUGUUAGUAGCUGAGUUUGUUAGACUUUUAGUUAGAUGUAAAAAAAGUCAACAGAAACGGUUAUCAUUUGGCAACAUUUUUUAAAAAAUAACUUUGCAUCUCAUAUUUAAGAGUAAUGCAAUAUACAACCAUCUUCUUCAAUAUUCUUCUUCUCUUGUUACUGUACAUCUAAAUCUCAGAUUCUCUGAGUUUCUCUUCAUCUAUGUAUGUAUUUUGGUGCAGAGGGUUUGUCAGAUCUCAGCCAAAGGGCCAAAGCCAAAAACAAAGGUAGUCUCAGUAGGGUGAAAGUUUGAAGGAUAGCACCAAUCAUAUUACUUACUAUUCAUUGAUGAUAGUAUCCUUUUCUCAAAAGCAUUCCGCAAAGAUCCUUAAUCAUUAAGGAGGUUCUCAAAAAAAUGAGCUAGUAGGGGUGAACAAAGGUCAGUUCGGUGCAACCAAGGAGGAAAAAAACAAAAUUUUAGAAUGUCAAACAGAACCGAAAUUGAUGUCACCGGACCAGCUCAGUAUUUUGAUCAUUGUUGCCAUUUGGUUCGGUUUUAAGCCUAACCGAUUAAUUUUUACAAACCCGAGCCGAACCAAUAGAAAUUUUCGGUCUAAACCAUUUAAACCAACAAAUGAACUUCCUUGUGAGCAGCCUGACUGAACCGAAUCGGGUCGGUUUGGCUUUCAGUCAGUAGUUUUGCAUGCCCCUAAAAGCAAGCAUCUAGUCAAAAGAUGAAGUAGGAUAAAAAUCAAGGAUUACUGGUUGCUUGCUGUAGCAAUGCAUCCAGAUAUGCAAGGAGUCAUCGAAUUAGCAUCCUGAAUGUGAGGUAGAUUGAUGAAUAUGAAAAUACUUGGGUUUACCUACUGCUAUCAGGAGGAGAUCAAUAAAGGUUGGUUCAGUUCAGUUAAGGAACUCAUGUAGAAGAAAACUCUGACACUGGACAGGAAAGUCGUUGUAGAGGGCAAAGUUGUUCUGAGGGGCCUAAGAAGAAGGUUCUUAUCAAAUAUAUAAUAUAGCCCAAGCAAUAACUAUGUUUACAAUGUCCUUUUCCACUGCCUUAGAGACUUUUUGAUAUAAUAAAUUUGUGAUAUUGAAGUUGUGAUGGGGCCACAAAUAGAAUAAACAGAAAAUUCAUUAAUUAAGCUGGACCAAGUGUGUGCAUCCAAAGCAGAUGGAGGACUAGAUUUUAGUGUUAUCCAUUCCUUUAGUUAUCAGUUCAAAUGUAAUUCCUUUAUUUUAGCUUUCCUUGUAAAAUAAGCUUUGCAAGUACUAAAAGAAUCCAGUGUCUUUGAUUCUUUCUGCUAAUGUUGGAUUCUCUCCAAUCUACAUGUUGUGCAAUAUAUGUUUAGCAAGGAAUUUAUUGACACAAGGCAAGAGGCAGGUUAUGGAGGACAAGGAAUAUUAAUAUAUGUAAUAACUAAUGGUAAAAAGAAAUAGAUUUCAUUCCUUUCACAUGUUUAAACUAAAUAACCCCCAUGUGAAAUGCUACAGACAAUUAAUACUGAGCUGCUGAAUGAAUGGCUGAUUGAAGUCUUUUCUACAAGUAGAUGUUGAGAGAAUCUCGGAGAUUCCUCUUCACUUCCAAGCACCAGGUGAUAGUAAAGGCUAUAUUGGGUGGGCCAUUGUCAAUUUCAACGCAAGAAAGUAAUAUCCUUUAUUUUUUCCCGUCCUAUUAGCGUAUGAAUCAAAUAAAAAACAUUCCCUUUGAGCAUCAUUUAGCCAUCAAAAACUAAAAUGCUUUUUGAGCAUUACUUGGUCAACAAUCUUGAUUAUUCUCCCAUAUUCCUAACUUUUCUGCAAUUAUAAUCCAUAUAGUUUUACAGAUUCCCUCUUCCAAUAUCUCAUACUUCUAAGUAACUUCAGAAACUCCUAACUUGAGCCAUCUCAUAACAGAUCCACUCAUUUAAUUCCAUAUUUGGCCAAUCAUGACCAGCUAGACACCAAGAACUUAUAUUGGAUAACUCAUCUACUGGUGGUGGCGAUGCCAUAUUCCACCCUUAUUUCAUCAAGCAAAGGCUACUUUAAGAAGAGGAGGAAAGACAGAAGAAAAGGGAGCAGGGUGUGUUCCAACCACUAUCUUAACCCAAGUUCCUAGAUUGAAAGGCGGCCAGGAAUAUAUGCAGAGGAAAUGCAGCUCCCAAGCACUCUGCGCAGUUGCACUCAAAAGGAAUAAUAAUCUAUUUCAUAAAGAUAUGUUAACUUUGAAAAUCUAAAAGAAAAAAAUGUUAGGACUUGUCAUAACAAGAAAUGGCAAGUCAAAAAAUUAGUCCAGCCAAGAACAUAGACAGCUAAAAAGAAGCUGUCUGAAUCUCGAUGAGAAAUCUAGAUUAGAGUUAGAACACUCUACAGAUGCAACUAACGAAAAAUUCAGAGCGAUAACUCAUAAUUAGCACUUGACAAAUUUAACCAUAUCAUCACCACCUGAAAUGCACAAAUUAAAUAAAAAUAACGACUGACCUUGUCAUCCACAGUGACCUUAAGCGGCAAGCCACUUGUCUUGCGCUUCAUCUUGUACAAUCUCUGUCCCAAGAUAAAAAAUCCCAUAACAGCUGCAGCCAUAGAGAAAGUCCAAACAGGACUGAUCCUGAAAACGCAAUAUCUCAACAACUCAAAAGGAACCUUCCACCAUACUACCUUCCUGUUCUCCUCAUCACCUACUGGCUUCCUUUCACCGACUGCAACAAUGCUCGUAUUUUCCUCUUUUGAGGCAUUUCCAAUGUUGGAUUCACCCAAAAUCUCAGAACCCUUUGUCACUCUCUCAACAUCACCAAAAACCAGACUAUCACCACCUGAAUUAGACCAGAACUUGCUAAAAUCCUUAUCCUUACUAUGGUUUUCUCCAAAUUCUUCAAAACCAGCCUGGUUUUUCACAUUCGCAUCAAAGCCGACUUCAUUUUUACCCUCCAAACCACUAAAAUUACUCUCAGUAGACUCAAAUUUCCCUUCUUUACCUUCAAUUUCUCCAGGUCCUUCAAAAACAACUUCAGUUUUCACAUUUUCCACAAAACCCAAUUCACUUUUCAUAUCAAAAUCAGUAAAUUUACGCUCACCAGAGCGAUUACUACCGGAAUCAGACCAAAAUUCACCAGAAUUCCUCCUCUGAUAUCGAGUUUCCGGCCCAGGAUCAAUCCAACUAGGAUUAUCAGACUCAAUAAAACCCUGGUCACUAGCAUCGACAGCAGUUUUAGGAUAUCUCUUAGCAUUUUCAAGAGUGAAGUAAUCUAACCUGAGAACACCUUCAGAUUCAGCCUCAAUUUCUUCAAUAUUCCUCGAGUUAUUCACCGAGUUAACCCCAUCUGUAUCCGAGUUGACAAGGAGCUCCCAGUCUUGAAACUCAGCUGAAGCAGCUCCGUCCAUGAUCCUUAAAUGGGAGAAUCAAAACAGAGACCCAAAACGAAAGAAAAGAGAAAAAUUUAACUAAAAAUUAAUAGUAUCAUAGAGGAAAGAUAGGCUUACAGGAAAAUGUUAGUUUUAAUAGGUGAUCCUCGCACACAGUUAGUUGGUCUUCCCACUGAAUCUUCUUCCACUUUCUUUUUCCAAAUUUAUUAUUAUUGAAAAAAAUAAAAACUUUCAAAAUACAUUUAAUAUAUUUUAUCAUUAAAAUUCAAGAUAUGAUUGACAUAUUUACAUUAAAAUCAAUAUUGAUUAAUAUUUUAAUUGAAUAUUUCAAUAUUAAGAAAUUUAAUUUAUUUCAAUAUUAAUUAAAAAUUAGUGCACAUUAUAAAAAAAAAAAAAAAAAAAAAAGAGAGAGAAAGAAAUAGAACAUUGCAUUAAAAGAAAAAAAAAAGGUAAUCACCACAAUGUUUUGAAAUAAAAUUUUUGUCGGACGAGUUUCCAUGAAUGAAUGAAUAUUAAGGAAAGAAAAAGAAACUCUUUCAAAAAAAAAAAAAAAAAAGGAAAGAAAAAGAAAAUUAACCAAUCAAUCAACAACUCUAUUACCCUCUUAAUUGACAAUUUUUGAAAAAAAAAAGAAUUAUUUAAUUUUUUUUCAAUCAUAAAAAUAUUUUACAAAAUUAUUUUGAUCAGAGCAAUAUCCGAUCUUAAAUAUUUAUUAUAUUUAUAUUCCAAAAUAUUUAUUAUAUUUGUAGUUUCUUUUCGUAAUUUCAAAAAUAAUAAUUUUUUUUUAUAUUUUAUCCUUUUUAUAUGACCAACAAUUAUUAUUUUAAUCACUCAAAAAAUUAAUAUUUAAAUAUAUUCAAUUAAAGAUAAUAUAGAUAAUUUAUUCAAUAAUUUAUUAUAAUUUAAAUAAAUUUAAUAAUUUUCUAAGAGACGUAAAAUUUUGAAAAUGCAAGUGUUUCCAAGCCAAUGGAAUUGCAACAUGUAAUGGGAAGUAGCGUGAUGAUGUGCAGUGAAUUUAUUCCUUUAUUGAGGGCAAGGGAAGAGAAAGAGACGCAUCCUUUUCAGGGCAGAGGGAAAAUAUAGAGGAGAAGAUGACAAGUUGGGUUGGAUAAAGAGAGGCAUUUUUAUUAGGUGUGCCUCUUGAGGAGACUAAUUAAUGAAAUUUUCUAAUCACAUGUGCAUUUCCAAGUUGAAAUCCUUGCUUCUUCUUCACCACUUUAAGGUUAAUAGACAAAGAAUCGUUGAAAUUAUACUAAUUAUUAUCUCUGUUAUAUAAUAUUUAUCAAAUUUAAAAUUUCACGUUCCUUAAAAAAAUUAUUAAAUUUGUCUAAAUUAUAAUAAAUUGUUGAAUAAAUUGACUAUAUUACUUUUAAUUUAAUACUAAUUCCCUAAAAAAACUAUUAAAUUGAAGUAAUAAUUAUUGGUCACGUACAAAAGGUAAACAUGGAAAAAAAAAUUAUUACUCCUUGAAACUAUAAAUGUGACAAGUAUUUUAGAACAAACUAUUUUCUUAAAUAUAAUAAGCAUUAUGGAAGGGAGGUAAUAAAUGUUAUGUUAAGCUUUAAAAUUAGGUAACAUGACAAAGUUAAUGAUCAUUAUAACAGUCGAGACCAAAUACAUUAUUUAACUCUUAAAUUUCAACAAAAUGUUGCACCUUGAACUAUAAUAUCGAUCUUGUGGCACCCUAAAUUUCAUCUUCAUUUUUUGGCUUUUAUAUGCAAAAUGUUGGUGUUAAUAUAACUUUUGGAAUUUUUACAAUUUUUAUUUUUUCAAUAACUGUUCAAUCAAUCUAAUUUUAUAAAUUGAAGUGUUUAAUAGGUCAAACAAAAGUUGAAAGUGCCAUAAAAUUUUUUGUAAAAUGUAGACGGUGAAUUUAUGGAUUUAGCCUCCCAUUGAGCCUAACAGUCAAAGAUAAUAGUGUAACAAAAUUGACAAUCGCCCAAAAAAAAUAAAUAAAUAACUGAGAAGAGAAUGGCCAAACUGUGACUAACAGCUCAAAGCCAAAAUGUCAACUAUGAAGAAAAUAACAUUCUUCUAUCAUAUUGUGUUGACAGGUACACAAAUUCUCACCCUUAUGUCAAAAAAUAGGGGGGAAGCUAUUGCAAUUUCGUUGAACAACAAAGAGCAGAAGUGACAUAAUUGCGACAUAUAAGCAACAUAAGGCUUUCUAUCUUUUCGGUAUAUAAAAACCACAUUGUGCGAUAUACCCAUUAACAUUAUAUAGAUAUGUGUGUGAAGCACAUAUCAUAUAUGACGUGGUGCAGGCUGUGAUGCAAUGGUUCGAUUUUGUGUUGAGCAGAUGAGAUUUUCAUAAGCUCAACCAUCUCCUAAGUUCAUCAACAAAUGUACUUCUAGGAACCUCUUCUUCAACUGUGGUUUCGAGGUUCUUUAUUUUUACAAUCGCUUUCUCUAGCUCCUUUUCGCCCACGAGUACCAUCCAUGGAAUUCUAGACUCUUUUGCACAGUCAAUGUGCUUACUGAACCUUGUACUCGCAAUGUAUUCUGCUUUCAACUUGGCAUUCCACAUUUCACUAGCGAGCUCUGCGGCUAAAGAUAAUUUAGUUUUAUCCCCUAGUAUGUUCAGCAGAACUUGCGUCUCAGUUGGUCGGGUUGUCUGCCAACACCCAGAAGAACAAGAUUCAUCAGUUCAAUUUGUUAUACAAUUGAAUAAAUGUCUGAACAUGACGAAAAGACAAAAACCAAAUUCACUAGCUGUUUAACAAUAGCAAAUCCAUACAAGAACUAUAUCAGUUGAUUAUCUGUUAAUAAUAGUUUUAUUUAACAAAGAGUGAACUGGAAAUCUUGGUUUGAUUAAAUUAAAGAUCGAGUUCCAUUUUGGACGGAAUUGGCAAAUUCAUAUGUUAUUUCACUUUUGCAGAUCUGAAUUCUGAAAUCAAAAGACACAGCAACUUUUUCAACCAAAGAAAUUUAAAAUUUAAAAAUAAAGCAAAACCGGAUGCAUCUAAAUAGUUAGGAACAGUGUUGGGGAUGAUAAACAAUGGAAUAAGAAAAAGUUCAAGGAAU
rnacentral:lncRNA from 1 species